rnacentral:rRNA from 1 species
AUUGAACGCUGGCGGCAGGCCUAACACAUGCAAGUCGAGCGGAUGAAGGGAGCUUGCUCCUGGAUUCAGCGGCGGACGGGUAAGUAAUGCCUAGGAAUCUGCCUGGUAGUGGGGGAUAACGUCCGGAAACGGGCGCUAAUACCGUAUACGUCCUGAGGGAGAAAGUGGGGGAUCUUCGGACCUCACGCUAUCAGAUGAGCCUAGGUCGGAUUAGCUAGUUGGUGGGGUAAAGGCCUACCAAGGCGACGAUCCGUAACUGGUCUGAGAGGAUGAUCAGUCACACUGGAACUGAGACACGGUCCAGACUCCUACGGGAGGCAGCAGUGGGGAAUAUUGGACAAUGGGCGAAAGCCUGAUCCAGCCAUGCCGCGUGUGUGAAGAAGGUCUUCGGAUUGUAAAGCACUUUAAGUUGGGAGGAAGGGCAGUAAGUUAAUACCUUGCUGUUUUGACGUUACCAACAGAAUAAGCACCGGCUAACUUCGUG